UGCUGCUACUGCUGCUGGGGAUUUGGUCCCAGCUCCUAGGACUCUGCCUUGAAAAUACAGACACUUAUUUGAGGGGUGGCUGCAGCCCAACAAGGGAAGGGGAGGAUUCCGUGAGCGUAGCGCUCGUGCCUUGACUUACAGUCCAGGGACCGAAGCGGGACAGACACAGCUCGCACGGGGAGCAGCGAGAGGCGGUGCAUCAAGGAGCAGAAGCCGGGCGCUGCGGGAAGACUUUAGAGGCCGGGAGAUGUGGGCGAGUAGGGAGCCCCCGCCAGGACCUCUGUCUGCACUCUCCAGAUCCUGGCACCUGAUGGGAAGGCAGUGUGGACACUGGCAACCCACCAAGUGUUUGCUGCUGAGAGCUGUGAAGGGUCUUCAACAGGAGCAGCCGGACCACAUAAGCUUCUGAAAGGCCCUCCUGGCUGGAAAUGAUGUCAUGGGAAGAGGCCAGCAGCCACAGCCAGAGCUGAGUUUCAACUGUCAGGGGAGACAAGGUGUGGCUGAGUGGAUUUCCUGGAGAGGGGUGCGCACCUCCCACCACAGGAUGGUGACGUCACGCCUGGAAUCUGGGGAGCCUGACUGCUUUGGAAGUGCUGUUCACUGAGGAGAGACUUCCCAUCUGCAUUCUCUCUCUGGGACAUGCCCCCUGGGAUCCAGGGAGGCCAUCUACACCUGAAGCCACCAAGCUGGAGGGACCACAUGUAUCCAGAGAUGCCAAGGGCCUCACUAUUCUGGUCUCAGCACAGGAGCCAGACCUGCUGACGCUGUACCCCAGUCCUUGAGCUGCCCCAGCUAACACAGAGUGGAGCAGAGAUGGGCUGGCCCUGCCCAAAUUGCACAUUCGUUAACAAAAUAAUACUGUUUUAGGUCACUCUGGUUGGGGGGAGGGGUGUUGUUUCACAGCAUCAGGAAAUGAAACACAAGACCUAAAGCUGGGGGUGACUAACCAUCUGGUUUGUCGGGGACUGAAGUUUCCAGGACUCAAGACUUUUCAGUGGUAACACUGGGUGAGUCCCAGGCACACGGAUGAAGCAGUAGUUCUCAAACUUCCUUGUGCAUCAGAAACACUUGGAGAGGGAGGGUAUAGCUCAGUGGUAGAAUUCAUGCCUAGCAUGCGUGAAGUCCUAGGUUCAAUCCCCCAUAUCUCCAUUAAAAGUAAGUAAACUUAAUUACCUCUC